rnacentral:rRNA from 1 species
GAAGUUUUGAAGUUGUUUUCUACUAAAAGAAAUCUUGUGUUGACUGAAUUAGUUUAAAAAAAUAUUUGUUUGUGUUUGCAUCCACUGGGAGAACUCCCUCCCGAAAGAGAGCGUUCCCCCAACGAACAAAAGAAUAGUAGUAAAGUAAACUCCACUGUGUGUAGUAAUUAGAAAGUGUCGAGUCGUGUGAUAAAACACCUCCUUUGGAAUAGAGAGAUCCACGCACACUCCCAGGUCUUUGUCGGCUCCCUCCCCCCACUGCAGAACACCCACCAACCGCGCACUUAAGCGCAGGCAGGAGAAAUAGCAUUCACAGCAGAGAAAAUAUUUUAGGAGCCUCCUGAGUAUCUACACUGGUCCUCCCCAGAGAUGUCUCUCUCCGAGCUCAGACAAAUCAAUUAAAUUUCUUUAAUGAUCCUUCCGCAGGUUCACCUACGGAAAUCGAAUUC